AAGACUAUACUUUCAGAGAUCAUUUCUAUUGUUUCUAUCUAGGAAAUGUGAUUGGAAAGUGUUACAUUUCUUUAAUCAUGAUGAUGAGUUAUGACUAACUUUUCUGAGCAUGAAUCAGAUCAUAGCUUUGUAUUUUAUGCAUGAGCUAUAAUGGUUGAUGAUUGUUCUCUGUCUUUAAAGGACAAUAAAAGAAAAGUACAUAAUCAGAGUGAU